rnacentral:rRNA from 1 species
GAGGGAUCAUUACCGAGUUUACAACUCCCAAACCCCUGUGAACAUACCUAUACGUUGCCUCGGCGGAUCAGCCCGCGCCCCGUAAAAAGGGACGGCCCGCCCGAGGACCCCUAAACUCUGUUUUUAGUGGAACUUCUGAGUAAAACAAACAAAUAAAUCAAAACUUUCAACAACGGAUCUCUUGGUUCUGGCAUCGAUGAAGAACGCAGCAAAAUGCGAUAAGUAAUGUGAAUUGCAGAAUUCAGUGAAUCAUCGAAUCUUUGAACGCACAUUGCGCCCGCCAGUAUUCUGGCGGGCAUGCCUGUUCGAGCGUCAUUUCAACCCUCAAGCUCAGCUUGGUGUUGGGACUCGCGGUAACCCGCGUUCCCCAAAUCGAUUGGCGGUCACGUCGAGCUUCCAUAGCGUAGUAAUCAUACACCUCGUUACUGGUAAUCGUCGCGGCCACGCCGUAAAACCCCAACUUCUGAAUGUGACCUCGGAUCAGGUAGGAAUACCCGCUGAACUUAAGCAUAUCAAAAACCGCGGAGGGAAAA